rnacentral:pre_miRNA from 1 species
GGCGUGCCUCGGCAAACAUUCAACGCUGUCGGUGAGUUUUUGGUAUGGGUCCCAUAAAAACCAUCGACCGUUGACUGUGCCCCGCGGCUCACCCGUACCACC